rnacentral:rRNA from 1 species
CCAAACUGUUGCCUCGGCGGGAUCUCUGCCCCGGGUGCGUCGCAGCCCCGGACCAAGGCGCCCGCCGGAGGACCAACCAAAACUCUUAUUGUAUACCCCCUCGCGGGUUUUUUUAUAAUCUGAGCCUUCUCGGCGCCUCUCGUAGGCGUUUCGAAAAUGAAUCAAAACUUUCAACAACGGAUCUCUUGGUUCUGGCAUCGAUGAAGAACGCAGCGAAAUGCGAUAAGUAAUGUGAAUUGCAGAAUUCAGUGAAUCAUCGAAUCUUUGAACGCACAUUGCGCCCGCCAGUAUUCUGGCGGGCAUGCCUGUCCGAGCGUCAUUUCAACCCUCGAACCCCUCCGGGGGGUCGGCGUUGGGGAUCGGCCCUGCCUCUUGGCGGUGGCCGUCUCCGAAAUACAGUGGCGGUCUCGCCGCAGCCUCUCCUGCGCAGUAGUUUGCACACUCGCAUCGGGAGCGCGGCGCGUCCACAGCCGUUAAACACCCAACUUCUGAAAUGUUGACCUCGGAUCAGGUAGGAAUACCCGCUGAACUUAAGCAUAUCAAUAAGCGGAGGAA